rnacentral:tmRNA from 1 species
GGGCUUGUAAUGGUUUCGACAGGGAUCAUGAAGCUGGAGAAGCGAGUCGCAGGGGAUGCGUUAAAUUCCAAAAUUAAAAUUAAACGCUGAAGAUAAUUUAGCAUACGCUGCCUAAUGGCAGCAGUCUGACCUAGAGCACCUACACUUUAGGACCCAGGCUUCGACGAUGUGGGAAACGAUAUACGCAAAGCUUUGAGCGUAUAGGCGUAUCAUGAAGCUACUGAAACCGGAAUUGUGCUUAUGCAAGUUCGGCGGAGGGAAUGUCAAAGCAUAGGCUACGCUCGUAGAAGGACAGGGGAUUGGUUUUUGGACAGGGGUUCGACUCCCCUCAGGUCCACUA